AAUUCAAUGAUGCUUUAAUUUUCUGACAUCUCUAAUGAACCUUUGUGAUUCAAACUUUUUAAUACAAUUAACUGAUGAC